AUUGAACGCUGGCGGCAUGCCUUACACAUGCAAGUCGAACGGUAACAGGUUAAGCUGACGAGUGGCGAACGGGUGAGUAAUGUAUCGGAACGUGCCCAGUCGUGGGGGAUAACGUAGCGAAAGCUACGCUAAUACCGCAUACGAUCUACGGAUGAAAGCGGGGGAUCGCAAGACCUCGCGCGAUUGGAGCGGCCGAUAUCAGAUUAGGUUGUUGGUGAGGUAAAAGCUCACCAAGCCUGCGAUCUGUAGCUGGUCUGAGAGGACGACCAGCCACACUGGAACGGAGACACGGUCCAGACUCCUACGGGAGGCAGCAGUGGGGAAUUUUGGACAAUGGACGCAAGUCUGAUCCAGCAAUGCCGCGUGCAGGACGAAGGCCUUCGGGUUGUAAACUGCUUUUGUACGGAACGAAACGGUGAGCUCUAAUACAGUUUGCUAAUGACGGUACCGUAAGAAUAAGCACCGGCUAACUACGUGCCAGCCGCCGCCGCUG
rnacentral:rRNA from 1 species